GGUUGGAGUAAAUGUAAUUAGUGUUUGUUGUGAGUGAUGUCAUUGUGAUGUCACAAUGGGCACAGUCAAAGUGUCCAAGCAGCGGCCAAACUGGCUCAUUCUUGAUCAGGCGACUGAGGUAGGUGGAGCUCUAGGGAUGUUUGUGCCAACGUUAGCAGGAAUAAGAGAUAAUAAUAACUAAUCAGUUUAAUACUGGCGCUGUGGGGGCUUUAGUGUAGUUUUUUUUCACAAUGGCACAAAAAUUUGGCAACAAUUUGUCAAAAAAAUUGACGCACGCGUGAAAAGAAAUGUUGAGCGUCGUGUUUCUGUGCGUCUUUUUUCAUGUUUUGAAGAUUUUUCGCUGUUUCACUUUUUUUGACAGUUUCACUCAUAUUUUACUCACUAAUUACUGUAACUAAAGUGAUAUUUCUUUUUGUCUCCAUAGAGAGAAAUUGAGAGAAUGUUUCGGCGUUUAAUUUCGUGGCUCCCUUGUGUGCCAAGGAAACGACGGAAUAAACCGAGAGAAUCUCUUGCGAUUGAAAGCGAUGAAGUCGGCGCGGUCGUCGUGGUAAGCAGAGAGGAACUGGUUAACACAAUAUAAUGAUCACUCUUUGCUCACUAUUUGUGCUUUUUCAGCCAUUUCAUUUACUUUUAUUUUUUGCUAUUUUUGCUCGUUUAUUCUUGUAAUAAAACAUGAUUUUAUCCUUCCUAGAACCACCAAGACGAACCCACCGGCGACAUCAUUGUGGUAAGCAGCAAUUUGUAAAAAACACAACUUUCCUGGUUAUUUGUGUUAUUGAAACCUUAUUAUUUACUGACCUAUAGAUUUAUA